CGGAAUGUAGCGCAGGGGUAGCGCGUUCGUCUGGGGGGCGAAAGGUCGCUGGUUCAAUUCCAGUCAUUCCGACCA
rnacentral:tRNA from 1 species